rnacentral:rRNA from 1 species
CCUACGGGUGGCUGCAGUGGGGAAUCUUGCACAAUGGGGGAAACCCUGAUGCAGCUACGCCGCGUGAUGGAAUAAGUGUCUCGGUGUUUAAACUUCUAUUUGCCGGGAAGAAAUUGACGGUACCUAACUAAGUAGCCCCGGCUAACUACGUUCCAGCAGCCGCGGCACUACGCAGGGGGCCAGCGUGAUCAGGAUUUACUGGGGGUAAAGGGAGCGUAGGGGGGUUAGCAAGUCAGAAGUGAAAUCUCCGGGCUCAACACCGAGACUGCAUUUGAAACUGUUUAACUCGAGUGCAGGAGAGGUAAGUGGAAUUCCUAGUGUAGCGGUGAAAUGCGUAGAUAUUAGGAGGAACACCAGUGGCGAAGGCGGCUUACUGGACUGUAAAUGACGCUGAGGCGCGAAAGCGUGGGUAGCGAACAGGAUUAGAUACCCCAGUAGUC